CUUACUCCGUGAAUCGGA
rnacentral:snRNA from 1 species